rnacentral:rRNA from 1 species
ACUCCUACGGGAGGCAGCAGUGGGGAAUAUUGCACAAUGGGGGAAACCCUGAUGCAGCCAUGCCGCGUGUGUGAAGAAGGCCUUCGGGUUGUAAAGCACUUUCAGUAGGGAGGAAGGUAGUGUAGUUAACACCUGCAUUAUUUGUACGUUACCUACAGAAGAAGCACCGGCUAACUCCGUGCCAGCAGCCGCGGUAAUACGGAGGGUGCGAGCGUUAAUCGGAAUUACUGGGCGUAAAGCGCAUGCAGGCGGCCUGUUAAGUCAGAUGUGAAAGCCCGGGGCUUAACCUCGGAAUUGCAUUUGAAACUGGCAGGCUAGAGUCUUGUAGAGGGGUUAGAAUUUCAGGUGUAGCGGUGAAAUGCGUAGAGAUCUGAAGGAAU